GUUUGAUUGUCUUAACCUAUUAACGGUUACGUUAAUAUGUGUUUCGAUUUGAUCUACCAUCCUUUCAAUUGUUAUUAAUUCCUUCUUGAUUGAAGUGAAUUAAUAAACUCAACAAUUGAAUCUUUUACUUUGAAAAAAUUAGAGUGUUUAAAGCAGGCUAUUGCUAUGAAUACAUUAGCAUGGAAUAAUAAUCUAGGACUUCGGUUCUAUUUUGUUGGUUUCUAUAACUGAAGUAAUGAUUGAUAGGGAUAGUUGGGGGUGCUAGUAUUGGCCGGUCAGAGGUGAAAUUCUUGGAUUCGGUCAAGACUAACUUAUGCGAAAGCAUU
rnacentral:rRNA from 1 species